GACGAACGCUGGCGGCGUGCUUAACACAUGCAAGUCGAACGGAAAGGCCCUGCUUUUGUGGGUUGCUCGAUUGGCGCACGGGUGAGUAACACGUGAGUAACCUGCCCUUGACUUUGGGAUAACUUCAGGAAACUGCGGCUAAUACCGGAUAGGAGCUCCUGCUGCAUGGUGGUGGUUGGAAAGUUUCGGCGGUUGGGGAUGGACUCGCGGCUUAUCCGCUUGUUGGUGGGGUAGUGGCUUACCAAGGCUUUGACGGGUAGCCGGCCUGAGAGGGUGGCCGGCCACAUUGGGACUAAGAUACGGCCCAGACGCCUACGGGACGCAGCAGGGGAGAAUAUGGCACAGUGGGCGGAAGCCUGAGGCAGCAACGCCGGGUGCGGGAUGAUGGGCUUCGGGUUGAAAACCGCUUUCGCCUGUAACGAAGAGUGAGUGACGGUAAUGAGUAAAGAAGCACCGGCUAACUACGUG
rnacentral:rRNA from 1 species